rnacentral:tRNA from 1 species
AGUCUUGUGGUGUAUAGCACAUAAAAUUGCAAAUUUUACAGAGCAAUAGAUUUGUUGCCGGGGCUUC